UACGAAGGGGGCUAGCGUUGCUCGGAAUCAUUGGGCGUAAAGCGCACGUAGGCGGCCUGUUAAGUCGGAUGUGAAAGCCCCGGGCUCAACCCGGGAAGUGCAUUCGAAACUGGCGGGCUUGAAUAUGGAAGAGGGUCGCGGAAUUCCCGGUGUAGAGGUGAAAUUCGUAGAUAUCGGGAGGAACACCAGUGGCGAAGGCGGCGACCUGGGCCAAUAUUGACGCUGAGGUGCGAAAGCGUGGGGAGCAAACAGG
rnacentral:rRNA from 1 species